UUUUGUGGUUUUGCUUUUGCUUUUGAUGGCAACAGAUGCAAUUUGAUCUUGGAAGCUAAGCAGGGUCAGGCUUGGUUAGUACUUCAAAGGGACAUCACCAGUGAAUACCAAGUGCCGUAAACU
rnacentral:rRNA from 1 species